rnacentral:rRNA from 1 species
AACGAACGCUGGCGGCAUGCCUAACACAUGCAAGUCGAACGAGACCUUCGGGUCUAGUGGCGCACGGGUGCGUAACGCGUGGGAACCUGCCCUUAGGUUCGGAAUAACUCCCCGAAAGGGGUGCUAAUACCGGAUAAUGUCUUCGGACCAAAGAUUUAUCGCCUUUGGAUGGGCCCGCGUUGGAUUAGCUAGUUGGUAGGGUAAAAGCCUACCAAGGCGACGAUCCAUAGCUGGUCUGAGAGGAUGAUCAGCCACACUGGGACUGAGACACGGCCCAGACUCCUACGGGAGGCAGCAGUGGGGAAUAUUGGACAAUGGGCGAAAGCCUGAUCCAGCAGUGCCGCGUGAGUGAUGAAGGCCUUGGGGUUGUAAAGCUCUUUUACCCGGGAUGAUAAUGACAGUACCGGGAGAAUAAGCUCCGGCUAACUCCGCG